GGUUUCCGGUUUUAGCCGUGUGGUUAUAGAUUUGUGCUUCCGCUUUCGAAACAUUUCCACUGUUUUUGUAAUUAUCAACAUUUAAAGCAGAGUUUGGAUUGAUGGAAGUCUUCACGAAUGGAGGACCAAAUUGCAGAGUUGAUGCUCCACAGCUGCUUGUCUGUAUGAAUGAAGUGGAAGAAGAUAAAGAGGAGGAGGAAGAGAGAAGUACCUACUUAGAUCAGGAGCAGCCAGAGCCUCAAAGUAUUAAAGAGGAAGAGGAGAAGGAGGAGGAACUCUGCAGCAGCCAGGAGGAAGAGCAGCUGUUCCUGAAGCAGGAGAUCAAGUCUGACUGUGAUGAAAUAUUUGUAAUCCAGUAUGAAGACCUCUCAGAGAAAAACAUCUGUAAGGAGGAGACUGAUGAUGAGCAGCUUCUCUGGAAGCAGGAGAGGAGCUCCAGUCUGGAUGAGGAGAAACCAGAGCUUCCACUGAUCAAAGAGGAGGAGGAGCACUUCAUCAAUGAGGAAGGAGAACAGCUGGAACUAAAGCAGGAAACUGAUGAUUUCAUGGUCACUGUGGAUGAUCAGGAAAACAUGGACUCCAACCCAGAACCAAGAGAGAACCCAGAUCUGGAAGCAAACCCUCAGAUCCAGUGCAGUGGUUCUGUGACUGUCCAGCUGGACUCUCCUUCACAUGAGACUUCACAUUCCUGUGAUACAUGUGGAAAAGUUUUUACCCGACGUGCUUAUUUGAAGACUCACAUGAGAACUCACACAGGUGAAAGACCACAUACUUGUAAAACAUGUGGAAAAAGCUUUAGUCGAUAUAUAUACUUGACUAAUCACAUGCGAAUACACGAAAACCAACAUUCCUGUGUGACAUGUGGAAAGGGCUUCACAACAUCCUCCAAAUUAACUCUCCAUGUAAAAUCUCAAACAUGUGAGAAGCCUUUCAUCUGUGAAAUUUGUAGGAAAGCUUUCUCCCAUGCAACUACUUUGACUGAGCACAUGAGAAGUCACACAGGUGAGAAGCCUUUUAGUUGUGAAGUAUGUGAAAAACGUUUUAUUCAACUAAGUGCCUUGAAAGCUCACAUGAGAACUCACACAGACGAGAAGCCUUCUUGUGAUAUUUGUAAGAAAACUUUCAUCCAUGCAAAUAGUUUGACCUGUCACAUGAGAACCCACACAGGUGAAAGGCCUUUUACUUGUAAAGUUUGUGCAAAAAGUUUUACUCAAAGUGGUCAAUUACAGGUCCACAUGAGAACCCACACAGGUGAGAGACCUUUUACCUGUGAAAUAUGUGGAAAAAGUUUCACUAAAAGUAUUAACUUGAAAGUCCACAUGAGAGCUCACACAGGAGAGAGGCCUUAUACCUGUGAAAUAUGUGAAAAAAGCUACACUCAAAGUAGUCAUUUAUCAGUCCACAUGAAAACUCACACAAGUGAAAGACCUUAUACUUGUAAAGUAUGUGAAAAAAAUUUCAAUCAAAGUACUGGCUUAAAAGCUCACAUGAGAAAUCACACAGGUGUGAAGCCUGCUUCCCGUGAAAUAUACCCAAAACCUUCUGUAAUGUUAAUGGUUUGGCCUACCGGAUAAGCACCCACACAGGUGAAAGCGUAGUUCUUGUGAAACAUUUGUAAAAAAUGUUUUUUUUACAUCCUCUUUAUUGUCUGCAAAAGAAAUGACAGAAAUGAGAAUAUUUAUUGUUCAAUCUACAGCUUUUUCCAGGAAUUGCUGUUGGCACUGCACCAUGUUUUGAAAAAAGAAUAGUAUUUUUUCUCUUUUAUGUGUAAUUAAUAGUUGCAUACAUGUAUCUAAAAUUAUGUACUUAAACACAGCUAUGGUGAAAUUUUUUCUUAAAUGUAUUUACAUUUUAAUUUUGAAAAAUGUGUAAUUUCUUUGUUAAUGAAACACGAUUGCCUGUGGUUUAGUAAAUUAUUUAUUAAGGAUAAUUCAUCCAUGUAGGUCAAGGUUGUGUUAAAUAAGUGUUGCCUUUAGUUUGAUCAGUAUUUAUGCGCCCUGUAGAAACAUUUACAUUUUUUUUAAAAGUUUAAAAAAGAAAUCCUAAUUACUUCCAUAAAACACAAUAGCAAACCAAGUAUUGAAAUUUCGUUUUUUAACAUUGUAUAGUAAAUUGAAAAAUACAUUUUUAAAUUGCAUGAUCAAUAUGCAAAUUGAAAUGUGAAUUGCAGAUCAUUACUUUGACUUAAAAAAAUCUUCCAGAGAGAGCGAGGGAGGAGUUGUUAGGGUUUGUUUUUGUUUUUACACUCCGUGCCGCUAGAGGGCAGUGUAAUGUUAGCUCGUCUGGAUACAGUGCUUGUAGUUUCCGGUUUUAGCUUCUACUCUCGAAACAUUCCCACAGUUUUUGUCAUAAUUAACAUUUAAACAACAGUUUAGAUUGAUGGAUGUUUUCACGAAUGGAGGACCAAAUUGCAGAGUCGAUGUUCCACAGCUGCAUGUCUGUAAGGAGGAUGAAAAAAGCAACUGCUUCUGUCAGGAGCAGCCAGAGCUUUCACAAAUCAAAGAGGAAGAGGAGGAGGAGGAGGAGGAACUUUGCAGCAGCCGGGAGGAAGAGCAGCUGUUACUGAAGCAGGAGAUCAAAUCUGAAUGUGAUGAAAUAUUUGUAAUCCAGUUUGAAGAACUCUCAGAGAAAAACAUCUGUAAGGAGGAGACUGAUGAUGAGCAGCUUCUCUGGAAGCAGGAGAGGAGCUCCAGUCCGGAUGAAGAGAAACCAGAGCUUCCACUGAUCAAAGAGGAGUGGGAGGAGAUCUGCAUCGAGAUGGUUGUUCAACGAGUCUUCUGCCAGCGGAGAUAAGAAGUGAAGCUUUGGCUCGAUUCCAAGGAGGACGAUCUGCUUCUCUUUCAGGAAGUCUGGGCUGGCGUUUCUUCUCACAUCACUGUGUUACACCUUCAUCCUGAACCAAUAGCUGUAUUGCAUGCUUUUCCUUCUCAUCAUGGAUAAAUGAUCUGCAUUUGCCAUGUUGAUUUCUAAAAGUUAUUUUUCACAUAAUCUAAGUAAUUCAUUUUUGUCGUGUGCUUUAUUGAUACUUCAGGACUCUUAGCUCUGUCUGAUAAAAGCUAGGAACCGCUUCCUUCCACUCCCUUUCAAGCAAUAUUUAUUAAUAUGUCUAAAUAUACUAAUUUUGUUUAGUUAUUGUAUGAAAGUAAAACUAAUUAUUGUAUUGUUGUUGUGCAUUAUUCUUAUUUGAUUGCUUGAAAUAAACCAUUUCAAAUCAAAUCAAAUAAAAAUCAUCAUUUUUUAGCCUUUGUAUUCCGGUAUGGUUAUAAGUUUUUCUGGCCCUCCUACAUCCCCCUCUCCACCAGGAACAAUACUUUGGCAUGUCUGACUGUUAAACCUCAUCGGGGUCUCUAGUCUCUGGGGUUGUUGAUCCAUGGCUUUUCCCCCACAAAGCAAGACAUCCACAAUUAAGUACAUCUGUGUCACAAAGAAAUCAAUAAUUGUAUUUCUAUUUCUGCUCAUUAAGUUGAAGCAUUGUCCAUCAUUUUCUUUGCAAUCUGGCAUAUAUAAAAAUAUUUGUUAAUAAAAAAAAAAUAAUUUACCGAGCUCCAUGUCAUUGCACCCAGUACUAAGUCUUUCUUUGCAAAAAGAUAUAUUGAAAGAGACCCGUCCACUUUAUUGGAUUUUCUGGAGCCGCCUGUGCAGAUCUGUUCCAAACCCCCAAACCAGUUCUCCUAUUCAGUACUGCCUGGAGCGAAGUGGAUUGUGUUUCAAUAAGCAGGCUCAACGCCCACAGAGCUAUAAAUCUAUGCUGUCAAAAAACAGAAGACGAGAACAUGUUCCGGGAAUCUACCUCCUCACAUUAACCUGUCAAGUUUAGGAAGAUGCAACUUCUUCAUGUUUUCUGUAUGUUUAAGCUCUGCCCAAUAGACCUGCAGCUCUGUAACGAAGUAACAAAU